rnacentral:lncRNA from 1 species
GGCCAGUUCAGCUGAUGCCUCUACCUCCAAGUUUCUCAGAAUCCUGUACUGAAGCUUAGCUGAGAUGAUCAGCCUCCAAGCUCAUUCCUCUGCUACUGGCAGGAUCCAGUUUGGCUGAGCCCCAGUGCUUUUGUUUGUGGUCCAGGAUACUAUAGAAUCUUUGUCCCUGGGGUCAUUCAUAGGGCAGCUCAAAGUAUCUUGAUUGAUUCCCUAAAGGGAGGAUGAGAGAGAGAGCGAGCCAGACAAAAAUCAAACUUCCCAUGACUCAAGUCUUGGAAGUGAUAUCCCAUAACCUUUGUCAAUAUCUGUUCCUUAGAAGCCAGACACCAAGUCUAAUCCACCUAGUUGGGAGGGGACUAAAAGCCUUAUAUACCAAGAGGCUAUGGUCACUGGGAGCCCUGUGGGGUGCACUUGUGGGAUGUGCAAUUUAUGAGAGGAAGCCAUCUGAAGAUCUAUACCAGUCGGGUAAUCUCUGAAUCUCACUUCAAAGUCUCCAUGGUACAGAGUAGGAUGUGGCCAAGAGGUGAAGAGACUUUCCUUAGAUCUCUGUGUGGGACCCAGAUUUGGUUGUGUUACAAUCUUUUUUUCCCUCCUCUUCUAGUGAUCAUCCCCUUUAAAGUUUGUGCAUUAGAAACAUGUGACUCCAGCCUUAAGGUUUCAUGGGUAAUACAGGUACUUAUAGGCCACAUACACUUGAUGACAUACUUAGAAGCAGAUGCUAACAUGACCCCCAGGGAACAAGUAGGGAGUCUCAGGAGGCCCUGAGAGGCACAAUGACUUGUCCAAGGUCACAAAAAU